GAUGAACGCUGGCGGCGUGCCUAAUACAUGCAAGUCGAGCGAACAGACGAGGAGCUUGCUCCUCUGACGGUAGCGGCGGACGGGAGAGUAACACGUGGAUAACCUACCUAUAAGACUGGGAUAACUUCGGGAAACCGGUGCUAAUACCGGAAAAUAUAUGGAACCGCAAGGUUCAAUAGUUAAAGAGGGUUUUGCUGUCACUUAUAGAUGGAUCCGCGCCGCUUUAGCUAGUUGGUAAGGUAACGGCUUACCAAGGCAACGAUGCGUAGCCGACCUGAGAGGGUGAUCGGCCCCACUGGAACUGAGACACGGUCCAGACUCCUCCGGGAGGCAGCAGUGCGGAGUCUUCCACAAUGGGCGAAAGCCUGACGGAGCCCCGCCGCGUGAGUGAUGAAGGUCUUCGGCUCGUAAAACUCUGUUAUUAGGGAAGAACAAAUGUGUAAGUAACUAUGCACGUCUUGACGGUACCUAAUCAGAAAGCCCCGGCUAACUCCGUG
rnacentral:rRNA from 1 species